rnacentral:rRNA from 1 species
UACGUAGGGGGCAAGCGUUAUCCGGAUUUACUGGGUGUAAAGGGAGCGUAGACGGAAUUGCAAGUCUGAUGUGAAAAUCCGGGGCCCAACCCCGGAACUGCAUUGGAAACUGUAUUUCUAGAGUGUCGGAGAGGCUAGUGGAAUUCCUGGUGUAGCGGUGAAAUGCGUAGAUAUCAGGAGGAACACCAGUGGCGAAGGCGGCUUGCUGGACGAUGACUGACGUUGAGGCUCGAAAGCGUGGGGAGCAAACAGG